CCCGGCACAGUCGCCUUUCUCCCCACAUGCGUCCCCUCAUCUCUCCAGCAUCCCGGGGGGCCCAUCUCCCUCUCCUGUUGGCUCUCCUGUAGGAAGCAACCAGUCUCGAUCUGGCCCAAUCUCUCCUGCGAGUAUCCCAGGUAGUCAGAUGCCUCCACAGCCACCCGGGAGCCAGUCAGAAUCCAGUUCCCAUCCCGCCUUGAGCCAGUCACCAAUGCCACAGGAAAGAGGUUCGUCUCCAGUUCAUGUCUUACAUGCCUAUAGUGCUUUCAGGCGAUAAGGCGUACGUGAGUUUGCUUACCUAUGCACCUCCUUAUCGUUAAUUUUUUUAAAGGAUAUUAUGUUUUCUUAUCAGACGGAAGAAAUAAACAAAAGCCCUUCCAACAAAUAUGGAGAGGAGGGAGGAUGCUUUCUUGUAGGUUGGGUGAAGUUUGGUCAAAGUACAGUUCAAGGCCCAAAGAAUGUGUGUGUCCACAUAGCACCGGGAAGCAUGGUUCACAUAUGACUGUAGUCUGGUAUUUGGUCUAGCUGUGUAAAAAUAACUGUGAAUGACUCAACUAGGGUAUCAGUCCCAAUGUGUGUGUGUGGCGGUUGGGGGUGGGGGGUUGUAUGUGUUAAUACUGGUUAUUCCCUGAUAUUUAAUAGUAAGAUUUUAAACCCAGAGCAAGACCUUGUCUUAAUAAAUGGUAAGAUCUUAGAACUGGAGCAGACCUGAAAGAUUCUAUGGCCCAGUCACCUAAAGCAACUGGGGAGUGUAGCGGUUAGGUGUGACUUCCCUUAUUCUCAGGAGCUAGUUAGUGCUAGUCCCAGAAAAAAAGAAUAUGGGCUUUUCCUGAAACCUUUGGAGAGAAGUGGCCCCACAUCUGCCAGUGCUCUUGACCUUUAGCUUAGUCCUGCCUGUCAUCCCUGCCGUGCAUUUCUUACUGCCUUGCAGAGACCUUAAGCCCACCCAUAUUUACCUCUGUCUUCACUAUCCC
rnacentral:sRNA from 1 species